rnacentral:rRNA from 1 species
AGUGGACGCUGGCGGUAGGCCUAACACAUGCAAGUCGAACGGCAGCACAGUAAGAGCUUGCUCUUACGGGUGGCGAGUGGCGGACGGGUGAGGAAUACAUCGGAAUCUACUUUUUCGUGGGGGAUAACGUAGGGAAACUUACGCUAAUAACGCAUACGACCUACGGGUGAAAGCAGGGGAUCUUCGGACCUUGCGCGAUUGAAUGAGCCGAUGUCGGAUUAGCUAGUUGGCGGGGUAAAGGCCCACCAAGGCGACGAUCCGUAGCUGGUCUGAGAGGAUGAUCAGCCACACUGGAACUGAGACACGGUCCAGACUCCUACGGGAGGCAGCAGUGGGGAAUAUUGGACAAUGGGCGCAAGCCUGAUCCAGCCAUACCGCGUGGGUGAAGAAGGCCUUCGGGUUGUAAAGCCCUUUUGUUGGGAAAGAAAAGCAGCAGGUUAAUACCCCGCUGUUCUGACGGUACCCAAAGAAUAAGCACCGGCUAACUUCGUG